rnacentral:rRNA from 1 species
UCAAUCUCGUGCGGCUAUAUAUACCGCCGGUCCCUCUAAGAAGAUUCAUAUGAGAACGCCGAUAGUGAAAGUCGUAUCGCGCGAGCGACGCAACCCUCUAGAUAUCGGUAAGUCGUCUAUUUAAUAGGCUAGAGUUACGUUCGUUAC